UGUGCCAAGCAGCCGCGGUAAUUCCAGCUCCAAUAGCGUAUAUUAAAGUUGUUGCGGUAAAAAAGCUCGUAGUUGGAUUUCUGUUGAAGACGUCCGGUCCAUACCACGUAUGCGCAUCUGGCUCGGCUUCGGCAUCCUCUCGAAAGACGUUUCUGCGCUUGAUUGCGUGGAGCGGAUCUCGGGACUUUUACUUUGAGGAAAUUAGAGUGUUCACGGCAGGCUAUCGCCAGAAUACAUUAGCAUGGAAUAAUACUAUAGGAUCUCGGUUCUAUUUUGUUGGUUUCUAGAAUUGAGAUAAUGAUUAAUAGGGACAAUUGGGGGCAUUCGUAUCAACACGUUAGAGGUGAAAUUCUUGGAUCGUGUUGCGACGAACUACUGCGAAAGCAUUUGCCAAGGAUGUUUUCAUUGAUCAAGAACGAAAGUAAGGGGAUCGAAGACGAUUAGAUACCGUCGUAGUCUUUACCAUAAACUAUGCCAACUAGAGAUGGGACAUCGUUCACUUAAGACUUGUUCCGCACCUUAUGAGAUAUCAAAGUCUUUGGGUUCCGGGGGGAGUAUGGUCGCAAGUCUGAAACUUAAAGGAAUUGACGGAAGGGCACCACCAGGAGUGGAGCCUGCGGCUUAAUUUGACUCAACACGGGGAAACUCACCAGGUCCAGACAUAAUAAGGAUUGACAGAUUGAUAGCUCUUUCUUGAUUUUAUGGGUGGUGGUGCAUGGCCGUUCUUAGUUCGUGGAGUGAUUUGUCUGCUUAAUUGCGUUAACGAACGAGACCUUAACCUGCUAAAUAGGAGCGCCUAUCUCCGGAUAAGCGCCUUUCUUCUUAGAGGGACUUUAUGCGUUUCAGCAUGAGGAAGUUUGAGGCUAAAACAGGUCUGUGAUGCC
rnacentral:rRNA from 1 species